UACGUAUGUGGCGAGCGUUGUUCGGAGUUAUUGGGCGUAAAGGGCGUGUAGGCGGCUCAUCAAGUCUGGUGUGAAAUCUCUGGGCUUAACCCAGAGUAUGCGCUGGAAACUGGUGGGCUUGAGUUCUUGAGGGGAAGCUGGAAUUCCAGGUGUAGGGGUGAAAUCUGUAGAUAUCUGGAAGAACACCGGUGGCGAAGGCGAGCUUCUAUCAGAGGACUGACGCUGAGGCGCGAAAGCGUGGGGAG
rnacentral:rRNA from 1 species